AUCCCUUUGCUUUAAUUUCUUUGAUCCAACUGUGGAUAACUUGUUAUUGAACCAAACUGAUUUGGACUGUUGCUUAACUUCCUGAACUGCAUAUUAUUUUGAAACUCAUUGAUUUGAACUGAACUGCAUUGGCUUGUUGUGACUUGCUUAGAUAUUUUCUAUGGUGCAGGAUUCGUGUUCAGUUUGGUGUAGUGUCAAGGUUAAUAUACAUUGUAUCAACACAAGCAAAUUCAUUGCAAGCCCCCGUCGGUUGCCGUUAUUGCUCGGUGCUAAGUUUAGCGUCUUGAUGCAAGCUUCGCCCUGUCGCAGUGCAGGAUUGUUAUGCUACUAGAUCCGGAGCUAGCCUUAGACAGACGUUGCCGUUUGUGCUGAAAACCGAUUCGUAAGGCCUCGUUUGAGCACGGCUGCAGGUUUGAUCCCUCUUGCACCGCCUCGGAUUGUUGUAGCAUUAUUGUGGGGUGUGUAUGCUGCCGGUAAUGGAAUGGUACGUUUUAUUCAGCAGGGUGUUCAAUCCAUGUUGGUGUCCUUGUACUGAUUUAGCUCUGGUGCAAGCGACAAUCACAAGAUUCCGCAGUAGACUUGAUGGAAAGGUUUGUGUGCUUUCUUCUUGACCCUGUUCUGCCUUGGCUUACUGCAGGAUUUCACUUGGCUUGAUUGGGAUGCUUUUGUGAGCUGAAUUACCUGCUGCCAGUAAAAUGUCAACAUGACGAAGCUAUUAUCCCACACCUGCACAUAGGUAAGAGAAUUUGCCGUAGAUUCACAUGGUUGGUAUUUUAGCUUAUGUUUCUGAUUGAUUACUUCAGGUUGUGAUGCUACUAUGCAUGUUGAACGCCAACUUAUGAUGAUUCUGAGUUGAUGAUCUUCUACAAGGUCUCUAUUACUCUGUCUUCUGCCAACAGGUCCUGUAAUGGACUUUUCUUGCUCUUCAUAUUCUGAGAAGUUUGAGAAUUAACAGGAUAUUCUGUAGUGUCUCCCGCGUGACUUUCACCAGAUACCUUAACCAAGUCUGGAUAUGAUACCACCCCAGCCCAGGGCGUUGCCAAACUCACGGAAUUGACAGAAGCAGCAACAUCAGAUACAAGUGUUUCUGUCUGUGCCUUUCUCUGUUCUUCCAGCUGAAUUUCUAAUAAAGACUUGGCCUUGACACUUGGAGCAGGUUUCCAAGCCUGUCCAGCAGCAACUUCAGCAUUGUGAGUAGAAACAGAACCAACUGCCACAGAAUCGCCUGAAAGGAUUGUUUCGAUAUGUUUCAUGUGAUCCACCGUUAUUUGGAAUGUGCUUAAUUGUUUGCGAGCUCGUAAUUUGCCAUCUGCAUUUUGAUUGUCCAGGUCUCAUGUUUCGCGUUUCGCACAUGCAUUCCCAUCGGCCGUUACUAUCGUGGUUUGAGUUACAUGCUGCUCAACUGGUUUAACUCCCACAUCUGUACCCACCUGUCCAGCCAGUAGCGAUGCAGCCGAAGACACUACAAUAACAAGUGCAACAUGCUGUGCCGGUUUGGUAUGCUCACCAGACUCGGAAACUGCGUUCAAAAGAGUACCACCAGCGCUGUUAUUGUUAUCCGACAUCAGCAGAAAAAGGUUUAGGUGCGAUAUUAGGCUCUUCUGUGGUCCUAUUCUGCUCAUGUAACAGGAAUCUUUCAACAGAAGCUAAUGCGGGCAAUGUUUUCUUCUGGGUGGAAAUGAUUCUGCAGGUUACCGCUGCUGUUUGGUUGCAGGUCUACUUGCGGAACAUUCCGUGAAUGAGUUCAGUAUCAGUUCAUGUCGGUUUCUUGUAUCAUGGCCAUGGUUCAAUUCUGAUUUGUUACUAUUUGUCAUGCCGGUCAUGGUGGUAUGGAGGAGCAAACAUGGCUAAGUAAAGGGUUGGACCUGGCACGGCAUAACAGUGGAAUUUUUGAAGUCACAAAAGUCAAACCAAGGAUCCACAUAGGGCUGAGACAUAGGGUUAGGAUCAGAGAUUAUGGACUUAGGAUUUUUUGGGAUGGGGUUGACUUUGGUCAAAGUUGACCAAAAAGUCAACCGUUGACCAAGGUCAACCUUGGUCAACACCUCACAUUUUGUGUUUAUCUUGUUUUCUUUUUUUUGUAAUGAAUAUUUUAUCCUUUGUAAUGGAAAUUGAUAUUCAUGAAUGGAGUGAGCUUGGAUAUGGAAUCUUGUAUGAGAAUCAUUGUAUGGACAUGCUUGAGAAAAAGAUUGAAAUAAAUGACUUUGUGGAUCUGAACAUGAUCCUUGCAUUCACUUGAACUUUUAAACGAAUAGGUUUGACCUGGACUCCCAUGAUAGCUUGAAUGACGAUGUACCAGCCGAACUAGGCUUAGGAGGCUAUAAUAUAGGAGUUCGACCUGAUUAGGGUAUGGAACCAUGACCAAGUAAAGGCCUUUAAAUCAGUGUCUUGAUCCCUCCAGUAACCACCAUUGACACCAGAUUUAAGCAUCAUACCCAAACAUCUCCACGCUAGGCUUCGAUUGGGGCCACCCCGAAUUCACUGAGAAAUCCUAGUUUCCACUAGGUGUAAACAUAAAGCUCUGAAUUCAAGUCACUGCCAUCUUGUGUU